rnacentral:rRNA from 1 species
GGCCUUCGGGUUGUAAACUGCUUUUGUACGGAACGAAAAGGCCCUGGUGAACAACCGGGGUUGCUUGACGGUACCGUAAGAAUAAGCACCGGCUAACUACGUGCCAGCAACCGCGGUAAUACGUAGGGUGCGAGCGUUAAUCGGAAUUACUGGGCGUAAAGCGUGCGCAGGCGGACAUGCAAGACAGAUGUGAAAUCCCCGGGCUCAACCUGGGAACUGCAUAUGUGACUGUAUGACUGGAGUACGGCAGAGGGGGAUGGAAUUCCGCGUGUAGCAGUGAAAUGCGUAGAUAUGCGGAGGAACACCGAUGGCGAAGGCAAUCCCCUGGGCCAGUACUGACGCUCAUGCACGAAAGCGUGGGGAGCAAACAGGAUUAGAUACCCUGGUAGUCC